CCCGGCACAAGCGGUGGAGCAUGUGGUUUAAUUCGAUGAUACGCGAGGAACCUUACCUGGGCUCAAAUGUAUGUUGACGUAUUCUGAAAGGGAUACUUCUUCGGACAAUAUACAAGGUGCUGCAUGGUUGUCGUCAGCUCGUGCCGUGAGGUGUCGGGUUAAGUCCCAUAACGAGCGCAACCCCCUAUCAUUAGUUGCCAUCAGGUAAUGCUGGGGACUCUAAAGGAACUGCCUACGCAAGUAGUGAGGAAGGCGGGGAUGACGUCAAAUCAGCACGGCCCUUACGUCCAGGGCUACACACGUGCUACAAUGGCCGAUACAGAGGGCAGCUACCUGGUGACAGGAUGCAAAUCUCCAAAGUCGGUCUCAGUUCGGAUCGGAGUCUGCAACCCGACUCCGUGAAGUUGGAUUCGCUAGUAAUCGCGCAUCAGCCAUGGCGCGGUGAAUACGUUCCCGGGCCUU
rnacentral:rRNA from 1 species